UUAGUCUGUGCUACUACGCCGUCGCCGACCUUAACCUGUCAUUUGUACGUUAUGAACUGUGUUUCAAAAUAUUAGCAAUUUUAAUUGCUCUGUGAUAUUCCUGAUUCCUGUUAGUACGGAAAUAACGUUCAACAUGAAUGAAGUCAACAAUAAUCUGACCUGUGACAUUUGCAAAAAGAAAUUCUCCAGAGUGUGGGUGAAAAAUCGUCAUUUAAAAGAUAUUCACCAUGUAGAAGCGAAAAAAUCAGAAAGCAGAAAAUCAACAGUUCAUAUGAAGUGUUCUAUUUGCCCCGAAGAACUGUGGAAAAUGACGAGUUGGAAAGGAUUAAUGUACUUACCAGAGGAGAUCUUGCCUAUUCAAUUAGAAAAUUCAACAUUGAUAAAAGAAGACAUGAUGAUGAUAUGGUAGAAAUAGCAUUAAAAGUUGAGGAAUGGAAUAGUGAAGGAAAAAAUGAUGUUUUUCUAUUUAAACAAGUAGGAGAAGCCUAUGUCAGAUUGAAGGAUGAAGAUUUUGCUUUAGAUAUAUGAAUGACAACAUGGAAAGAAAGCUGAAAUGGUUCAAAAAAAUUAUAUGCAUAGAUGGGACACAUGGAACCAAUGCAAGAAACUAUGAUCUUACCAUAGUUCUAAUUCUAGGUCCCGACCUCUUAGGAAAAAAAAUGCUUGUUGUGACCUUUUUAUUUGAGGAUUCAGAUCAGUAUAAUGUUGUUUUCAGUUAUGUACAUAGAUUUUGCUAAAAGAGAACUUAUUUAAACGUAAACCUCUCAUUCAAUGCAACAAGUAUCUUUCAAAAUGUUGGAUGUGAAUAAUUUUAAAUAUAUAUGAAGCUAUGGAGUUGGCGCUUCUGAGAUUUUUGUGAGUAACAAAAGUAAUUUAAUAGAUAAUUAAUUUCAAGAAUGCUUGGUGAAGGUGUAAUACAAGAAUUGCAAUAACUCCAUAAGAAAUUAAGGUUUUUCUCAAUAUAUAUAAUCUGACUAACAAUUUUUUUUAGCAAUUCUGAAAAAAUUUGAACUACUACAUGCUGUGAUUACUGGCUACAGCUCUAGGAAUGUGGCAAAACUUAUUUUUUUUGAAAAACAAAAACAGAUUCAACUACCAAAAAUUGAAACCCUUAGAAAAUCGAAAUGUAAAUAUAUUAAUUUCUAGAUUCUCAUUAUCACUAGUUGGUGGCAUUUCUAUUUUGAAUUCUCAAAAAUGUUUUACAAAUGCACUAAUUAUUUUUUGUAUUCACUCGCUUAUUAACAAAGUGCCACAAUGUUCAAUAAUUAAUAAUUUCAAUACAUGUUAGUGAUUUCUUAUUUUUUUUUCUAGUAUUUUGAAUUUUCUGCUUCGAAAAUAUAUAUAUUUAUAUAAUUUCAUUUAUUCUUACAGAAUUAGGUACCACAUUCUAUACUGAAAUAUAUAUUAUUUAAAAUUAAAUAAUUAUUCAUCAUUGAUAUGAAAAUCGAAAGUCAGUAUAAUGUUACAUACGUGUUAAUCAUCAGAAUCUGAACUUUAAUUUCACAUAUAGUGAACAAAAUAAAACAUUCGGUUGAAUUGAAAUAUUUAUUUGCAACCCUCAUAGUAAAAAUGAAAUUUUGCACAAACAGUAAUAAAUAAUAGUUUGUACUGAGUUUUUUUAAUUUAUUUCUCUUUAAACUACAAAAAUGGAAUAUUAUCAAGUCACAGAUAUUGUCACUUAAUUAAUUUUAAUCUCUAUUUAUACUUUAAAUUCACAGAGGAAAUUUUUUUUUCAAAUAUACAAUGACUACAACAUAUUUUGACUAACAAGAUCUUGAAAAAAAUCUACUAUUGCUAUGUCAACAAUUACUUACUUUUAUAUCCAUCAGAUGGAAAAGUGUAAAUAGCAAUUAUAACUAUCAACUAUUUUACUUCGAAGCUGUCAGAAUUAAUUCAGCAUGACCACCGUAAUCAGGCAAAUUUUCCAUUGAUCAAUCAAUUAUAAAUUAUAUAUAAAGAAGGAUCUCCAGAUCCGAAUUUCAAAAUGUUGGAAAAAAAAUAACAUAUUUAAUUCGUAGAAGUGACUUUUCACGGCUUUAAGGCAGUCUCGCCAUCUUAGAUGACGCUUCUCCUCCAUAUGAAAUAAUAUACUAUUUCGAAACUUCUAAUAUCCCUAGAUAAGAGGAGGAGCGAAAGAUUAUCCGAUCAAGCAUGCACCUUGACAUAAAGAUCUAUUGUGCAUCUAAUAUACCUAGCUAGAAUUAAUUUACAAUUCCAUAUGAAAAAUUGCAUCCAGUGAAACAUUAUGAAGGUGGCUAAGGAAAAUGUUAAACCAAAUGAAGUAAAAUCACUAUAUGAAAAAAUAUCUUUCUUUGAAGGUGCCAAAAAUAUAGAUGGACAUUUUCUGGUAAUAUCGAAACUUCGCUUGUUUGAAUCCAUUAACUUUAUAUACAAUAAACUGUACAAGUAAAGUUUAUUUAUUGAGUAAGUCUUUGAAGA